GACGAACGCUGGCGGCGUGCCUAAUACAUGCAAGUAGAACGCUGAAGGAGGAGCUUGCUUCUCUGGAUGAGUUGCGAACGGGUGAGUAACGCGUAGGUAACCUGCCUGGUAGCGGGGGAUAACUAUUGGAAACGAUAGCUAAUACCGCAUAAUAGCAGUUGUUGCAUGACAACUGUUUGAAAGGUGCAAUUGCACCACUACCAGAUGGACCUGCGUUGUAUUAGCUAGUUGGUGGGGUAACGGCUCACCAAGGCGACGAUACAUAGCCGACCUGAGAGGGUGAUCGGCCACACUGGGACUGAGACACGGCCCAGACUCCUACGGGAGGCAGCAGUAGGGAAUCUUCGGCAAUGGACGGAAGUCUGACCGAGCAACGCCGCGGGAGGGAAGAAGGUUUUCGGAUCGUAAAGCUCUGUUGUAAGAGAAGAACGAGUGUGAGAGUGGAAAGUUCACACUGUGACGGUAUCUUACCAGAAAGGGACGGCUAACUACGUG
rnacentral:rRNA from 1 species